UAUUAUUUAAAAUGUCAUUAUUAAUAUUAAAGUAGUAAUAGCUAUGUUCUUGAAACUUAAAAAAUUUGGCGGUAUUUUAGUCUAUCCAGAAGNACCUGUUUUGNACUCGAUAAUCCACGAUGGACCUUACUUAAGUUUGAAUCAGUUUAUAUACCGNCGNUAUCAGANUAUUUUAUAAGNAUAAUAAUAUUCAUAUUUGUAUUAAAUUAUAUCAGAUCAAGGAGUAGCUUAUANUUUAAGGAUUAUGGGGUACAUUGAGAUACUCUAUACGGNUAAAAUUAUGAAAAAACUUUUGAGGUGCUUUGGUAGUAAACCUAUGGCGAUUAAUAAUUUGAUUUUAGCUCUAAAAUAUGUACACAUCGCCCGUCGCUCUUAUUAUUAAGGUAAGAUAAGUCGUAACAUAGUAGAUGUACUGGAAAGUGCAUCUAGAAUGA
rnacentral:rRNA from 1 species